UACGCACGCUGGCGGCGUGCCUAACACAUGCAAGUUGAGCGACGAACCAGGGCUUGCCCUGGGGCAAAGCAGCGAACGGGUGAGUAACACGUGGGUAACCUACCCCGAUAACCGGGACAACCCGAGGAAACUCGGGCUAAUACCGGAUGUGCUCACUGGACUUCGGUUCAGUGCGUAAAGGAAGCUUCGGCCUCCGUAUCGGGAGGGGCCCGCGGCCCAUUAGUUUGUUGGUGAGGUAACGGCUCACCAAGACCGCGAUGGGUAGCUGGUCUGAGAGGACGAUCAGCCACACUGGGACUGAGACACGGCCCAGACUCCUACGGGAGGCAGCAGUGGGGAAUCUUGCGCAAUGCGCGAAAGCGUGACGCAGCAACGCCGCGUGGGGGAAGAAGGCCUUCGGGUUGUAAACCCCUUUCAGGAGGGACGAAGGUUCGGCGGUGAAUAGCCGUCCGGACUGACGGUACCUCCACAAGAAGCCCCGGCUAACUACGUG
rnacentral:rRNA from 1 species